GGGAUUGCCCUAGUAACGGCGAGUGAAGCGGCAACAGCUCAAAUUUGAAAUCUGGCUCUUUCAGGGUCCGAGUUGUAAUUUGCAGAGGGCGCUUUGGCGUUGGCAGCGGUCCAAGUUCUUUGGAACAGGACGUCACAGAGGGUGAGAAUCCCGUACGUGGUCGCUAGCCUUCGCCGUGUAAAGCCCCUUCGACGAGUCGAGUUGUUUGGGAAUGCAGCUCUAAAUGGGAGGUAAAUUUCUUCUAAAGCUAAAUACUGGCCAGAGACCGAUAGCGCACAAGUAGAGUGAUCGAAAGAUGAAAAGCACUUUGGAAAGAGAGUCAAAUAGCACGUGAAAUUGUUGAAAGGGAAGCGCUUGCAGCCAGACUUGCCUGUAGUUGCUUAUCUGGACUUUUGUCCGGUGCACUCUUCUAUAGGCAGGCCAGCAUCAGUUUGGGCGGUUGGAUAAAGGUCUCUGUCAUGUACCUCCUUUCGGGGAGGCCUUAUAGGGGAGACGACAUGCAACCAGCCUGGACUGAGGUCCGCGCAUCUGCUAGGAUGCUGGCGUAAUGGCUGUAAGCGGCCCGUCUUGAAACACGGACCAAGGAGUCUAACAUCUAUGCGAGUGUUUGGGUGUCAAGCCCAGACGCGUAAUGAAAGUGAACGGAGGUGGGAACCCUUUGGGUGCACCAUCGACCGAUCCUGAUGUCUUCGGAUGGAUUUGAGUAAGAGCAUGGCUGUUGGGACCCGAAAGAUGGUGAACUAUGCUUGAAUAGGGUGAAGCCAGAGGAAACUCUGGUGGAGGCUCGCAGCGGUUCUGACGUGCAAAUCGAUCGUCAAAUUUGGGCAUAGGGGCG
rnacentral:rRNA from 1 species